rnacentral:rRNA from 1 species
UACGGAGGGUGCAAGCGUUAUCCGGAUUUACUGGGUUUAAAGGGUGCGUAGGCGGGCAUGUAAGCCCGUGGUGAAAUCUCCGAGCUUAACUCGGAAACUGCCAUGGAUACUAUGUGUCUUGAAUGUUGUGGAGGUGAGCGGAAUAUGUCAUGUAGCGGUGAAAUGCUUAGAGAUUACAUGGAAUACCAAUUGCGAAGGCAGGUUACUACUAGUGGAUUGACGCUGAUGGACGAAAGCGUGGGGAGCGAACAGG